CUAGUUGGUAAGGUAACGGCUUACCAAGGCAACGAUGCAUAGCCGACCUGAGAGGGUGAUCGGCCACACUGGAACUGAGACACGGUCCAGACUCCUACGGGAGGCAGCAGUAGGGAAUCUUCCGCAAUGGGCGAAAGCCUGACGGAGCAACGCCGCGUGAGUGAUGAAGGUCUUCGGAUCGUAAAACUCUGUUAUUAGGGAAGAACAUAUGUGUAAGUAACUGUGCACAUCUUGACGGUACCUAAUCAGAAAGCCACGGCUAACUACGUGCCAGCAGCCGCGGUAAUACGUAGGUGGCAAGCGUUAUCCGGAAUUAUUGGGCGUAAAGCGCGCGUAGGCGGUUUUUUAAGUCUGAUGUGAAAGCCCACGGCUCAACCGUGGAGGGUCAUUGGAAACUGGAAAACUUGAGUGCAGAAGAGGAAAGUGGAAUUCCAUGUGUAGCGGUGAAAUGCGCAGAGAUAUGGAGGAACACCAGUGGCGAAGGCGACUUUCUGGUCUGUAACUGACGCUGAUGUGCGAAAGCGUGGGGAUCAAACAGGAUUAGAUACCCUGGUAGUCCACGCCGUAAACGAUGAG
rnacentral:rRNA from 1 species